rnacentral:rRNA from 1 species
CCUACGGGAGGCUGCAGUGAGGAAUAUUGGUCAAUGGGCGAAAGCCUGAACCAGCCAUGCCGCGUGCAGGAAGACGGCUCUAUGAGUUGUAAACUGCUUUUGUACGAGGGUAAACACAGAUACGUGUAUCUGCUUGAAAGUAUCGUACGAAUAAGGAUCGGCUAACUCCGUGCCAGCAGCCGCGGUCAUACGUAGGAUCCGAGCAUUAUCCGGAGUGACUGGGUGUAAAGAGUUGCGUAGGUGGGAUAAUAAGUAGCUAGUGAAAUCUGGUGGCUCAACCAUUCAGACUAUUAGCUAAACUGUUAAGCUCGAGACCGUUAGGGGUAACUGGAAUUUCUAGUGUAGGAGUGAAAUGCGUAGAUAUUAGAAGGAACACCAAUAGCGUAGGCAGGUUGCUGGGACGGUUCUGACACUAAGGCACGAAAGCGUAGGGAGCAAACGGGAUUAGAUACCCCUGUAGUC